AUUGAACGCUGGCGGCAUGCUUUACACAUGCAAGUCGAACGGCAGCACAGGGAGCUUGCUCCUGGGUGGCGAGUGGCGAACGGGUGAGUAAUGUAUCGGAACGUGCCUGGUAGUGGGGGAUAACUACUCGAAAGAGUGGCUAAUACCGCAUGAGAUCUUUGGAUGAAAGCGGGGGACCUUCGGGCCUCGUGCUACUGGAGCGGCCGAUAUCAGAUUAGGUUGUUGGUGGGGUAAAGGCCUACCAAGCCUGCGAUCUGUAGCUGGUCUGAGAGGACGACCAGCCACACUGGGACUGAGACACGGCCCAGACUCCUACGGGAGGCAGCAGUGGGGAAUUUUGGACAAUGGGCGCAAGCCUGAUCCAGCAAUGCCGCGUGCAGGACGGAGGCCUUCGGGUUGUAAACUGCUUUUGUACAGAACGAAAAGUCUCUGGCUAAUAUCUAGAGAUCAUGACGGUACUGUAAGAAUAAGCACCGGCUAACUACGUG
rnacentral:rRNA from 1 species